CAUCUCACGAUUUCUCAAUAAUUAUUGUGGAGAUUUUAAAUUAAAUUAUAAAUAAAGCAGUUUUGCCUCUCUAUCAGCAACAAAAUAAGUACUUUCCGUCUAAUUAUGAUUAUUAAAUCAUUUUUAAAGUAGUAAAACAAAAAAUAUGGCCAAAACAUUGUCAAAUUAAAAAAGAAAUUUCAUAGUGCGCCACUUUUUUUUGUAAGGAAAUAGUAGCGACCAGUGGUGACGGAGGAAUUGAACCCACAUCUGUGGGUCAACAGGUCAUGGAAAUAUCAUGCUGAUCACUCGGCUACUGAGUUUGAAAUUAGUGCAUCAAGGCCAUUUCAUUACAAAUUGUUGUUUGCAUGAGGAAAAUUAAAUUAAUAAACCAACAGUUAUAAAACCAUUCAUAACACAUAAUAAUUAACAAAGAUUGUGGAUGUAUUGCAUGAUGUUUAUUUCAUU